CACCCAGUUAAUUUUUGUAUUUUUAGUAGAGGCCGGGUUUCACCAUGUUGGCCAGGCUGGUCUCGAACUCCUAACCUCAAGUGAUCUGCUAGCCUCGCCCUCCCAAAGUGCUGGGAUUACAGGCGUGAGUCUGCGCGCCGAGCUGGCUGAGAAAGCUGAGGCUGAGGGCGAUGAAAUUCACAUGGCCAGUGGGAGCCAGGAUGGACUCAGGGUGCCCAUGAGACCAUGCCGUCCUUCAGGCUACACUGUUCUGAACUCACAUGACCAAGAUGUGACAGAGGCUGGAUUCCACGUCCCUGGCACACUCCAAGAGGGAUUCAAGGUUAAAAUACAACUUGAUACUUUAAAUGGAGAAACUCCCCACAGUAUGUUUGGCACCAUCUGAAUUCAAGGUCACAUUUUCCAGUCUUGCCCUGGUUUUGAAAUCUGUUGGUUUAUUUCAAUACAUCAGUUACUGUGGAGAGAA